rnacentral:pre_miRNA from 1 species
AACUUAAAUGGUCGUGUGGCUGCAUUACGCCGCACUGCCAUUUGAUGUCAC